rnacentral:rRNA from 1 species
CCUACGGGUGGCUGCAGUAAGGAAUAUUGGUCAAUGGACGAAAGUCUGAACCAGCCAUCCCGCGUGCAGGAUGAAAGCCCUAUGGGUUGUAAACUGCUUUUAGCAGAGAAGAAAAGCUUUCAUUAAUGAGAGUCUGACGGUAUCUUCAGAAUAAGCACCGGCUAACUCCGUGCCAGCAGCCGCGGUAAUACGGAGGGUGCGGGCGUUAUCCGGAUUUACUGGGUUUAAGGCGUGCUUAGGCGGAAUUGGUGAAAUGUUGUCGCUUAACGAUAAAAUUGCCAAAGAUACUGGUACUCUUGAAUUGGGUUGAGGGUAGCGGAAUGUGACAUGUAGCGGUGAAAUGCAUAGAUAUGUCAUGGAACACCAAUUGCGAAGGCAGCUAACUGGGCCUUGAUUGACGCUGAGGCACGAAAGCGUGGGUAGCGAACAGGAUUAGAUACCCUUGUAGUC